GUUACAAGGGAAAAAGGAGUAAGUUCAUGAUGCAGAGCCCAAGCAGCCAUUAACUCAAGAGACCAAGUGAACAUCACCAGGAGUGGAAGGAGUUGAAAUCGUGUCCACCUGGGAGGAUGUGAUGCAUAGCAUUCCUUCUGUGAGGCUGGCCAGAGACUUUAACCUGAAUCUGAACAGCAUGAGGCAAGCCAAAACUGGGAUUUGCUGCUGAAGAACUGACCAGUAAUCUUUGAAACCGUCAAGCUCAAGGAAGUCAAAGGUGGCCCGGUGGGUGCUCUGGAGGCAGUGCUGGAUUCCAACACUGAGGUCGCUCCCUUUCGAGUUCUGCUUCAAGUUCCCGGCUCACAGGUGUACUCUCCCAUAGCAUGUGGAGAGUUCCUGGACGGAUGCGACGUUCACUGGGCCAUAGCCACUGGGACCUUGAAACCCAAGCACAGAAGGAGCUGUUCUGAAUCUUUUUCAGGCUACCAAGAAAGGAGAAGCUGCACACUGUGGUGGACUGCUCCUCUGGACGCCCUUCAGUCGGUUCCACACUGCAGGGCACAUGAUUUCCUCUGACAGCUCCACCUACUUUGCCAGCAGAGAAGAUGGCUGCUACAAUGUUGUCCUUCCGCUCAGAGAGGCUGGGCACAGAGCACCUGUUUUGUACUUGACAAGCAUGUGCAGUGACCACAAGUUUGGGGAUCUUGAAAUGGUGUCCAGUCACAGCAGCAAGGAGCGUGAAGACAAGAGCCCACCUCUGCACCCCGGACCCCUGAACAUCGUCCUCCAGCCUUUGGGCAGCCAAAACCCUGACUCCUACCUGGUUGGUGAGGCCACUCAUUUCCUGGUGUGCCAUGGGCACUGGAGGCUGGGCAAUGACCAUGGAGGGUGUGGCACCUGAGCACCAGCUCCUCUGGACCCGGGUGGAGAGGUGGCCGCGGACCUUGGGCAGCAAGGCCUCUCUUGAGGGCUCAGACAGCAGAGCAGGAGCGACCUUUCCCCUGUCCUUAGUGGCUCUCAUGUCAUUCCUGCUGUGUGACUUGGGCAGCGGGCGGUGCAGGCCCUGUGGGUUUUCAGGUGUCAACCAAGUGUUCCUCCCACUGGCCGGUGGUGUCUGUGAGCAUCUCAGUUUGUUUCCCGCAUGUGUGUCCUGGGACAAAGGGCUGCCUGUCCUCUAGUUUUAUGAACUAAAAUUAUUUUUGCCACAUUCAUACUUUUUUCUUUAUAUGGAAAAUUUGAGGCAAACAGACUCCAAUUUCGUAACUAGACUCUAAGUGGCAGUGAAGAGACUAGUUUUGACCUUGUCACUACCUUGGGGACCAGGUGUGGCUGCAGACAUUAUUACCCACACUCCUCCUCAGUUACUGCAGCUCCUGCAGCAUCAGUUGUUACUCUUAUUGAUCCAGACUGAACCUUUCUUUUCAGAUGUGAUGCAUGCCCACACACACGGGAGGUAUGGGUAUAUAUAUAUAUAUGUGUGUGUAUUUAUUAUGUGUGUACAUAUAUAUAUAUAAUUAGUUCCUUAAUCUAUAAUUUUCUAAGUAUUGAGCAUAUAUGUAUCCUCCCAUUGCUGGAGAAUGCAGGUUAUUAAAAGCAUUUCACCAUAACCAA